AUUGAACGCUGGCGGCAUGCCUAACGCAUGCAAGUCGAACGGUAACGCGGGGACAACCCUGGCGACGAGUGGCGGACGGGUGAGUAAUACGUAGGAAUCUGCCCAUUUGUGGGGGAUAACCCGGCGAAAGCCGGGCUAAUACCGCAUCCGCUCUACGGAGGAAAGCAGGGGAUCGUAAGACCUGGGGCUAAUGGAUGAGCCUACGUCGGAUUCGCUGGUUGGUAGGGUAACUGCCUACCAAGGGGACGAUCCGUAGCUGGUCUGAGAGGACGAUCAGCCACACUGGGACGGAGACACGGCCCAGACUCCUACGGGAGGCAGCAGUGGGGAAUAUUGGACAAUGGGGGCAACCCUGAUCCAGCAAUGCCGCGUGUGUGAAGAAGGCCUGCGGGUUGUAAAGCACUUUCAGAGGGGAAGAAAAAAUCGGAGCUAACACCUCCGAGCUUGACGUUACCCUUAGAAGAAGCACCGGCUAACUCCGUGCCAGCAGCCGCCGUAA
rnacentral:rRNA from 1 species